AUUGAACGCUGGCGGCAGGCUUAACACAUGCAAGUCGAGCGAGCGGCGGACGGGUGAGUAAAGUAUGGGGAUCUGCCCGUUAUAGGGGGAUAACUAUUGGAAACGGUAGCUAAUACCGCAUACUAUCUGAUGACACCUAUGGGAGUAGAGCGUAGGUGAGGUAAAGGCUCACCUAGGCGACGAGCCCUAGCUGGUCUGAGAGGAUGAUCCGCCACACUGGGACUGAGAAACGGCCCAGACUCCUACGGGAGGCAGCAGUGGGGAAUAUUGCACAAGGGGCGCAAGCCUGAUGCAGCCAUGCCGCGUGUAUGAUGAAGGCCUUCGGGUUGUAAAGUACUUUUAGCGGAGAAGCGGUAUCUGCAGAAUAAGCACCGGCUAACUACGUGCCAGCAGCCGCGGUAAUUC
rnacentral:rRNA from 1 species